rnacentral:rRNA from 1 species
CAGGUUGAUAUUCCUGUACUACCGAUAACCGUUUGAGAGAAGGGAUGACACAGUAGGAUAAGUUAAGCACACUGUUGGUUAUGUGUGCCCAAGCAUUGAGGCAGUCAAAGCAGGCAAAUCCGCUUUGAUAAUGCUGGGAUGUGAUGGGGAGCGAAAUUUAGUAGCGAAGUAGCUGAUUUCACACUGUCAAGAAAAGUCUCUAUCGAGGUUAAAGGUACCCGUACCGCAAACCGACACAGGUGGGUGAGGAGAGUAUCCUAAGGCCAGCGAGAGAACUGUUGUUAAGGAACUCGGCAAAAUGACCCCGUAACUUAGGGAUAAGGGGUGCCACCAUCAGGUGGCCGCAGAGAAUAGGCCCAAGCGACUGUUUACCAAAAACAUAGGUUUCUGCUAAGUCGCAAGACGAUGUAUAGGAGCUGACGCCUGCCCGGUGCUGGAAGGUUAAGGGGAUCUGUUAGAGCAAUCGAAGCAGUGAACUUAAGCCCCAGUAAACGGCGGCCGUAACUAUAACGGUCCUAAGGUAGCGAAAUUCCUUGUCGGGUAAGUUCCGACCCGCACGAAAGGCGUAACGAUUUGGGCACUGUCUCAACAACAGACUCGGUGAAAUUGUAAUUCCGGUGAAGAUGCCGGAUACCUGCGACAGGACGGAAAGACCCCAUGGAGCUUUACUGUAGCUUGACAUUGGGUCUUGGUACUACAUGUACAGGAUAGGUGGGAGGCUUUGAAACCAGGACGCCAGUUUUGGCGGAGCCAUCCUUGGGAUACCACCCUUGUAGUACUGGGACUCUAACCAUAGGCCAUGAAUCUGGUCUUGGGACACUGUCAGGUGGGCAGUUUGACUGGGGCGGUCGCCUCCCAAAAGGUAACGGAGGCGCUCAAAGGUUCUCUCAGUACGGUCGGAAAUCGUACGUAGAGUGUAAAGGCAAAAGAGAGCUUGAUUGCAAGACAUACAGGUCGAGCAAGGAUGAAAAUCGGACUUAGUGAUCCGGUGGUUCUGCGUGGAAGGGCCAUCGCUCAACGGAUAAAAGCUACCCUGGGGAUAACAGGCUUAUCUCCCCCAAGAGUCCACAUCGACGGGGAGGUUUGGCACCUCGAUGUCGGCUCAUCACAUCCUGGGGCUGUAGUAGGUCCCAAGGGUUGGGCUGUUCGCCCAUUAAAGUGGUACGCGAGCUGGGUUCAGAACGUCGUGAGACAGUUCGGUCCCUAUCCGUCGCAGGCGUAGGAAAUUUGAGAAGACCUGUCCUUAGUACGAGAGGACCGGGAUGGACG